rnacentral:rRNA from 1 species
UACGUAGGGUGCGAGCGUUGCCCGGAUUUAUUGGGCGUAAAGGGCGCGUAGGCGGCCACGCACGUCCGUUGUGAAAUCGCUCGGCUCAACUGGGCGGGGUCAGCGGAUACGGUGUGGCUAGAGCAAGCUAGGGGGCAAUGGAAUUCCCGGUGUAGUGGUGGAAUGCGUAGAUAUCGGGAGGAACACCAGUGGCGAAGGCGGUUGCCUGGAGCUUUGCUGACGCUGAUGCGCGAAAGCGUGGGGAGCGAUCAGG